UGCGUAGGCGGCUGGGUAAGUCGCGUGUGAAAGCCCGGGGCUCAACCCCGGAGCUGCAUGCGAGACUGCCCGGCUCGAGCACGGUAGAGGCGGGCGGAAUUCCUGGUGUAGCGGUGGAAUGCGUAGAUAUCAGGAAGAACACCGGUGGCGAAGGCGGCUCGCUGGGCCGUUGCUGACGCUGAGGCACGAAAGCGUGGGGAGCAAACAGGAUUAGAUACCCUGGUAGUCCACGCCCUAAACGAUGGACACUAGGCGUCGGGGGGAGCGACCCUCCCGGUGCCGUCGCUAACGCAAUAAGUGUCCCGCCUGGGGAGUACGGCCGCAAGGCUGAA
rnacentral:rRNA from 1 species